UACGGGGGGGGGCAAGCGUUGUUCGGAAUUACUGGGCGUAAAGGGCUCGUAGGUGGCCAACUAAGUCGGACGUGAAAUCCCCUCGGCUUAACCCGGGGGAACUGCGUCUGAUACUGGAUGGCUUGAGUUUGGGAGAGGGAUGCGGAAUUCCGCGUGUAGCAGUGAAAUGCGUAGAUAUGCGGAGGAACACCGAUGGCGAAGGCAAUCCCCUGGGCCUGUACUGACGCUCAUGCACGAAAGCGUGGGGAGCAAACAGGAU
rnacentral:rRNA from 1 species